GACGAACGCUGGCGGCGUGCUUUACACAUGCAAGUCGAACGGAAACGCCCUGUUUUUGUGGGGUGCUCGAGUGGCGAACGGGUGAGUAACACGUGAGUAACCUGCCCUUGACUUUGGGAUAACUUCAGGAAACCGGGGCUAAUACCGGAUAGGAGCUCCUGCUGCAUGGUGGGGGAUGGAAAGUUUCGGCGGUUGGGCAUGGCCUCGGGGCUUAUCAGCUUGUUGGUGGCGUAGUGGCUCACCAAGGCCUGGACGGGUAGCCGGCCUGAGAGGGUGAGCAGCAACAUCAGCGUGCAGUGAGGGCCCAGGCAGCUACGGGAGGCAGCGGUGGGCGUCUGUGCGCGCUAGGCGGACGCCUUAUGCAGCAACGCCGCGGGGGGGACGACGGCCUUCGGGUAGGAAAGCGGUUGCGCCAAUGACGAGGCGUGAGUGACGGUAAGGGGUAAAGAGCCACGGAGCACUUACGU
rnacentral:rRNA from 1 species